UAGAGUUUGAUCCUGGCUCAGGACGAACGCUGGCGGCGUGCCUAAUACAUGCAAGUAGAACGCUGAAGAGAGGAGCUUGCUCUUCUUGGAUGAGUUGCGAACGGGUGAGUAACGCGUAGGUAACCUGCCUUGUAGCGGGGGAUAACUAUUGGAAACGAUAGCUAAUACCGCAUAACAAUGGAUGACACAUGUCAUUUAUUUGAAAGGGGCAAUUGCUCCACUACAAGAUGGACCUGCGUUGUAUUAGCUAGUAGGUGAGGUAAUGGCUCACCUAGGCGACGAUACAUAGCCGACCUGAGAGGGUGAUCGGCCACACUGGGACUGAGACACGGCCCARACUCCUACGGGAGGCAGCAGUAGGGAAUCUUCGGCAAUGGGGGCAACCCUGACCGAGCAACGCCGCGUGAGUGAAGAAGGUUUUCGGAUCGUAAAGCUCUGUUGUAAGUCAAGAACGGGUGUGAGAGUGGAAAGUUCACACUGUGACGGUAGCUUACCAGAAAGGGACGGCUAACUACGUGCCAGCAGCCGCGGUAAUACGUAGGUCCCGAGCGUUGUCCGGAUUUAUUGGGCGUAAAGCGAGCGCAGGCGGUUUGAUAAGUCUGAAGUUAAAGGCUGUGGCUCAACCAUAGUUCGCUUUGGAAACUGUCAAACUUGAGUGCAGAAGGGGAGAGUGGAAUUCCAUGUGUAGCGGUUGAAAUGCGUAGAUAUAUGGAAGGAACACCCGGUGGCGAAAGCGGCUCUCUGGUCUGUAACUGACGCUGAGGUGANGUG
rnacentral:rRNA from 1 species